rnacentral:rRNA from 1 species
GGUUAAGCACUUAAGGUGCGGAGCCGUAGCGAAAGCGAGUUUUAACUGAGCGUUCAGUUACUUGACGUAGACCCGAAACCGGGCGACCUACCCAUGAGCAGGAUGAAGCGAAAGUAAAAUUUCGUGGAGGUCCGAACCCACGAGCGUUGAAAAGCUCGGGGAUGACUUGUGGGUAGCGGUGAAAUUCCAAUCGAGCCCGGAGAUAGCUGGUUCUCCCCGAAAUAGCUUUAGGGCUAGCCUCAAGGUGAGAGAUACGGAGGUAGAGCACUGAAUGUCCUAGGGGGUAUUGCACCUACCGAAGACUAUCAAACUCCGAAUGCCGUCAUCUUAUACUUGGGAGUCAGACUGUGGGUGAUAAGAUUCAUAGUCGAAAGGGCAACAGCCCAGAUCGUCAGCUAAGGUCCCUAAAUGUAAGUUAAGUGGUAAAGGAUGUGGGAUUGCACAGACAACCAGGAUGUUGGCUUAGAAGCAGCCACUCAUUCAAAGAGUGCGUAAUAGCUCACUGGUCGAGUGAUCCUGCGCCGAAGAUUUCCGGGGCUAAAACUUACUACCGAAGCUACGGCAUCAGUAAUGAUGGGUAGGGGAGCUUCCCAUACGGGUUGAAGCAUGACCGUAAGGACAUGUGGACAGUAUGGGAGUGAGAAUGUUGGC